rnacentral:rRNA from 1 species
GAUGAACGCUGGCGGCGUGCUUAACACAUGCAAGUUGAACGAAGUGGCGGAUGGGCGAGUAACACGUGAGGAACCUGCCUUUCACAGGGGAAUAACACUGGGAAACCAGUGCUAAUACCGCAUACUAUCGGAUGAACCCAUAUGGGAUUAGCUAGUAGGUGGGGUAAAGGCUCACCUAGGUGAUGAUCAGUAGCCGGACUGAAGGUUGAUCGGCCGCAUUGGGACUGAGACACGGCCCAGACUCCUACGGGAGGCAGCAGUGGGGAAUAGUGGGCAAUGGCGCAAGCCUGACCCAGCAACGCCGCGUGAAGGAAGACGGUCUUCGGAUUGUAAACUUCUUUAGACAGGGACGCGGUACCUGUAGAAUAAGCCACGGCUAACUACGUGCCAGCAGCCGCGGUAAUUC